ACCCGCUGAACUUAAGCAUAUCACUAGGGGGAGGAAAAGAAACCAACAGGGAUUCCCGGAGUAACUGCGAGUGAAAGGGGAAAAGCGCAAUCUGAAUCCUUCGGGCUUUGCUCCUGGGAGAUGUGGAUUUGGGUAUUCCAACCAGCCGGAGCCUCUGUAAUCCCUUGGAAUUAGGGUGCCCUAGAGGGUGAUAGUCCCGUAACAGAGGCAUUGAUGGCUGCUAGGGGUAUUCUAGCGAGUAGGGCUCUUUGAGAGUAUAGCCCGAAUAUGGGAGGUAAGUACCUUCUAACGCUAAAUAUUGCUGCAAGACCGAUAGUGAACAAGUACCGUGAGGGAAAGUUGAGAAGCACUCUGAAAAGAGAGUUACAAGCACCUGAAACCGAUGCAUGGGAAGGAGUAGCUAUACGCUAGGCAUGUGAGCCUCUACGCUUGCGUCUGGUGGUAUCAUGGGCUCUCUGAGUGGGUAACUCCUACCAGACCUUAGGAUACUAUUGGAUUCAGGCCUCUGGGGGCCAUGGCGGCCAACCAGUUCGGAAAGAAACCAU
rnacentral:rRNA from 1 species